UUCUUCAAAACCACCUUACCCGCUUCCAUUUCUUCCUCGUUAAGAGAAUUCUCAACCGACAUCUCUCUCCCACACCUCCCCUUCAUCCCCAGAAUUUCGUCAUUUCUGCUUCUAUCUUGGAAGACCAGACCACACCAUCAACAAAGAGGAGCAUGUAUGCAAUACGAAGCAUUGGUUGAUCAGUUUAACGGGAUAUUGGUCCGGUUCAAUUAGAAAGCAGUGCUCAUGUGUUCAAGAGUUCUGCUGUUUGAUUGAGCCGUGCCAAUAUCACGUGGCUCUGCUCUUGUUUAUCAAACCAAACAUACUGAUUUGAGGUAGCUCGUUUCUCAUUUUUCCUCUCUCUCUCUCUCUCUAUGUUUAUCUUUAGUGGAUCCUUUCUUAAGCGGUUCAUGUUGUAGACUUUUAGCAAAUUUGGUACUUCCGAGCUAUAUAAUAUACUGAAAGUUGAAGCAGGGUUUUUAGUGGCCCGGUGUUGGGCUGGGCAGGUUACCUGAUUGGCCCAGAUGGCCGAGAAAUCCAGGCUCAAUACCCAUUUUACCAAUAUAAAUAAUAUGUACACAGUGAAGUAUGGCUUGGUUAAUUUACCAAAAAAAAAAAAAACGGUAUGGCUUGGUUAUUGGGGCCAAGAAAUUUUUAAUCCAGGGGUUGGGAUACCGUUAACAGAAUGUUGCUCAGACUGGGUUGAUUUAUUUAUUUAUUUUGAAAUUCAUUCCAAACCCACAAAGUAUUGGUAUGGACUAUGGAGCAGGGUCCUACACCAAUCUCAGAACGACCAUUUCAUUACCUUGAGAUUUGAAUUGAUGAAUUCGGAUCUGCUCCUCACAGAAUGCGUCCCACACCAAUCUCACAGCACAUUUCAGUUGUACGUCUGGAACAUCUCCAUAAUUGAGAGUUUUUAUUCAUAAGGAGAUCUUCUCAAUGCAUGGGUGAAACGCGCUGUGAGGUUGAUGUGAGGCGCUCUGUGAAUAGCAGAUCCGAAUUCUGAAUUGAGGCAUGAGAACACUGGCACACAGAGUUUCUCUUUGGGAGCAUUUGCAUUCCUCAAACCUCUAUCCUUGGAAGCUUUUUCUUCCCUUUUUUUGGGUACUGAUUAAACCUUUGCUUUGUUUUUUAUUUGCUAUAUACUUUACCGCCACUGGAUCUCCUAAUGUGCAGCUGGAUGAUGUUGUGUGUGCAGAUUUUUGCUUGCAUGAGAUGGUGCUAUGUUUUACCAAGAAAAAACUAUUUAAUUGAGCAUGAUAAUGGAGAAUAUUGCUUUUAGAGAAAAGUUUUCUAAAUUAUUUUCCUAACAAAAUGGAGUAGGUAAUUUCCUUUUCCAAUCUUCUCAUUUCUGAAAAGGUGUUUUCUUUUUCUUUUUUGUUAAAUCUUUUAGUGUACCCUCUCCGUUUGAAUAAAUCUUUUUUGUUAAAUCUUCUCAUUUCUUAAAAGGUGUUAAAUCUUUAUGGGUUUAUAUUUUUUUUUUCUCAUCCUAUCGUUUUAGGUGUUAAAUUUUUUCGCAAUGAUGGAAAAGAUAAAAAACCUUCACAAACUUUGUAUAGGUUUUCCCGUCUUUCCCUUCCUUUUUCUACUUUUUCCUUCAAACCAAAUAUAGCUUAGUUGAAAGUGUCCCUAUUAGAUUUUAACCAUUUAGACUAAAUUUGACCAAAAAAGAAAAAUAAAAAGAUUUAAGCCAUUUAGCAGAUGCUCGACAACAUGGAACAUGGUUCGAUUUGUUUUAGUUUUAAAAAAAAGCAACCAUGCUGUUAAAGACCACCUUAGAAUGUUUCUGUUUUCAUUUGUUUUUUAAAAUUACUAUAUCAGCAAAAAAAAAUAAUAAUAUGUUAUUGAACCAUACUUUUGUUUUGGAAGAAAAAAAAAGAUUUUGUUUAAAAAAAUAAUACAUGUGUUUGAAUACAGCAAAUAAUAGUUUUUAAAACGAAAACAAAAUGUAUAUAGUAGAAUAGUUUUUAAAUAACAGAUGAAAACAUGUUCUUUAAACAAAAAAAAAAAAAAAUUGAAGAAGAAAUUUUUGGUUUCAAUUUUGGAAACAAAAAACACACGUAACCAAGAGCAUAUUUCUGUGGUCUUGUUUUAUGAAUCAAUUUGUUUCCAAACAAGUUGGUUUAGUUUCAUUUUCAGAAUCCACAACCAGAAAAUUCACAUCGGGGAACGCCCUACGACUCUACUCUUGCUCUUAUUCUACCCACGAAACACUGCAGCCCAUGGUUUUCAAAACCGGAUCGGACUGGAUGGUCGGACCGGAAAAAUCAGAAACCACUUAGGUGACCGGUUUUGUUUCUCCCAAAAUUGGAUUUUCUCAAAAAAAAAUGUUGAUUUUGACCGGUAAACCGCUAAACCGGGUGAUUAACAGUUCGAACCGUUUGAUUCAAACGAUUUUGAUAUUUUUUUAUAUUUUUUUGUCAGAACGGGCAACCAGACCUCUGACCGGGUCGAUUUUAAAAACCAUGCUGCAGCCCCACAUCUCACCAGUGAUCACAUUAAUAAGGAACAUAUGAAUAAGCCAUGUUCAGCUGCGAGUCCAACUUCAGUCAAAGCAAAGUCUGUUCGAACAACCUUUACAGUCUUGCAUUGGGAAUAUCUCCCUACUUGUGUAUUUUAAUUCAUGGGUAAAUAUUCCUAAUGCAAGAUUAGAAGAGGCCGUUGAAACUGUGUGAGCAUGGGCUUGCUACUUCAACUGCAAUGCAGUGUAUUGUGGGUAGAGUCCUGUGGGCACAAAAUCGGGUGUGCCCCCACUGUUGACUUGUUUUUCCUGGUGGUAAGCCAUAUCAUGUUUCUAAUCAAACAUCCCUUCCACCCUGUUGACUUGUUUUUCCUGGUAAAAAUUUUUCCAAAUUUGGAUUAUCAAAUCUUUUGUCCUGCUGCAUUGCAUGUCUUUUUUCUCAUGAGAGGACAUAAAUAAAUAAGGCAUUAUUCAUCCUUAUUUAUUUAUUUAGCUAAAGGUUGUGAUAUGUGAUAUCCUCUAUUUGUUUCAUUUGCUACACACACCCAAAAAUUAAAAAAAAUUAUAAAAAUAAAAUAAAAUAGAAUCCGUAUCCAUUAAAUAAAAAUGGCGUUUAAUUUAUUUUUUCAUCAAGGAUUAUUUGUGGAAUGCCAGUGAUGAUCGAUUAGGAGGACCUUUGGCACUUUCUUUGCAAUCCUUUUCCCAAAUGCAAACCACCAUAUAUAAUAAGAGACCACUGCUCAACAUGUAUAGUUCCAUAUGAAGAAAUUGCCUGCGAGAUUGAUUGUUUAUCAAAAUUGAAGUUGUCAUUUUUAGUAGAUAAAUAUACAUGUGAAAUAUAUUCGGAUCUAACUAGAUAAUCUCGAUUAAUACUUGGUUUGAUUUUGGAUCCAUCUUAUAAAACCCAUACCCAUUUACAGCACUGGGACCAAAUCAAUACCUAACCUGAUCCUUCUGGCAUCCCUAGUUGCGAUAUGUGAACUACCCGACCAGCUCAUUGGAGACAAGAAGUGGGAACUUUUUGUGAGUGGAGAAAAGAACAAAAGCAAAAAAAAAAAAAAAAGCCAUACAAGAAAACAAAAAAGUAGGAACGUGAAGUUGCUUUUAUUGUGGUGUGGUGGGUGGUAUUGAUCCUCUGUCUUGCACGCCAAGGCUUGUUGCUUUCUUUAUUGGACAAAGGGCCCGUUUGAGAAGGUUUAAGGGUUGGUUGGUUGAACUGUAUUAACUGGGCCACUCCUAACAAGCUACCAAAACUAACUUGACCGGUUUCACACUUCAAUAUAAGCAUUUGUGGGGUUUUCACCAAAUGAGCACGGUCUUGUUAGGACUGAAUCUGAUCUAACCUUGCAAGGCCAAAAGCCACUGGGUGAAAGGCCAAAAGCCCUCCCAAAUGAAUUUGGAUUAUCUGCUAAUCACAACACAUUGCUGGCCACAUUCACCCAGCUGCAUGUUAGAAACAUCUCUUGUAUUUUAUAUACUGAUCUUCCUGAAUUAAUGUGGUCAGCAAUGUGUUGCCAGCCGCAUAUUAGGCUCAGUUUGAAAGGACUACAAAUACAAAUACAUAUAGUGCAAAUACAUACAAAAUACAAGGUUUUACACUCUACAAAUUUGUAUUUGUACUCUUUUCAAACUGAGCCUUAGGAACAUCUCUUGUAUUUUAUACCACUGAUAUUACUGGAUUAAUGUGGCCAGUAAUGAGUUGUAGUCAGAAGAUCCGAACUCCUCCCAAAUGGGGCACAAAAGUUGCACCCAGUAGCGUAGGUAAGGUGAUUAGAAGAAAGUUAAAGCCACUAAUACAAACAAAGACCAUUUUGUUUAUUGAAGACCCCCCAACCCGGAUGAAAGUGGGAUUCAAUCCCAAGUCCCUGCACAACCAGCCAGAGACCUUACCAGCAAGCAAGCUGGCUUCUGCAUUCCUAAGCCCAAGAUGGAGGUUUGGGGUCAUGGAAUAGUGUUUUUAGUUAAAAUUUGUUUGAUUGAUGCAUGGCUCAUCUCCUCGAGGAUAACUCAAAGUUCAGCUAUAACUAUGAGCUUGUAACUGUCUCACUGAAUGUUCUAGUUAAUCUGUUUGACUGUAUUUCUCAUCCACUGUAGCACUUAUGCUUCAUCCUUGAGAUUGCAGGAAAACACACCAUUUCUUGCAGUGUAAUUGUGGGUAUCACAUUCUCACUUGUUCUCAUAUAAGAAUUCCUGUGAAAUCAAUAGAGUAUCGUACGACACUAAAUGGUUCAAAUCAGUGGAAGUUCUGAUACUUGUCCAAAUUAACAAAGUGAAGUGGAAUGUAUUGCCAUCUCUGAUGCAUCUUCAGGGUAAUACCCCACUAGAACUUUCUAGUUUUCUACAUCUCUAAUGUGGGUUUUGAUCAAAUCUUCAGGGUAAUAACUUUGUUUUUUUCAUAAAGUUUCUAGUUUUCUACAUUCAUUUUUUCUUUUAUUUUUUCGUAAAAGAAAUUAAGCAUCAAAGUUGUAACCAGCUCUCUAUGACUUGUUCUAAAACGAAACCCAAGGAAAAAGGAAAAAAAAAAAAA